CACGAAAUGUUUGUUCGCCACCACAGCAACCUAACUAAAUACACUAUAUUUAUUGUAUUUUUAUGAUUGAUGAUAAAAACAAUAAAUAUUUGCGAAUUUUUAUCAUCAAUCAUAAAAAUACCAUAAAAUAAUAUAGUGUAUUUAGUUAGGUUGCUGUGGUGGCGAACAAACGUUUCGUG